rnacentral:rRNA from 1 species
AACGAACGCUGGCGGCAUGCCUAACACAUGCAAGUCGAACGAGACCUUCGGGUCUAGUGGCGCACGGGUGCGUAACGCGUGGGAACCUGCCCUUAGGUUCGGAAUAACUCCCCGAAAGGGGUGCUAAUACCGGAUAAUGUCUUCGAACCAAAGAUUUAUCGCCUUUGGAUGGGCCCGCGUUGGAUUAGCUAGUUGGUAGGGUAAAAGCCUACCAAGGCGACGAUCCAUAGCUGGUCUGAGAGGAUGAUCAGCCACACUGGGACUGAGACACGGCCCAGACUCCUACGGGAGGCAGCAGUGGGGAAUAUUGGAAAAUGGGCGAAAGCCUGAUCCAGCAAUGCCGCGUGAGUGAUGAAGGCCUUAGGGUUGUAAAGCUCUUUUACCCGGGAUGAUAAUGACAGUACCGGGAGAAUAAGCUCCGGCUAACUCCGUG